rnacentral:rRNA from 1 species
UACAGAGGUCCCAAGCGUUGUUCGGAUUCACUGGGCGUAAAGGGUGCGCAGGUGGGUUUGCAAGUUCGAUGUGAAAGCCCCGGGCUUAACCCGGGAAUGGCAUUGGAUACUGCAGAUCUGGAGGAUCGGAGGGGGGACUGGAAUUCUUGGUGUAGCAGUGAAAUGCGUAGAUAUCAAGAGGAACACCAGUGGCGAAGGCGAGUCCCUGGACGAUACUGACACUGAGGCACGAAAGCCGGGGGAGCAAACAGG